GAUGAACGCUGGCGGCGUGCUUAACACAUGCAGGUCGAACGGAAAGGCUCCUGCUUGCAGGGGUACUCGAGUGGCGAACGGGUGAGUAACACGUGGGUGAUCUGCCCUGCACUUCGGGAUAAGCCUGGGAAACUGGGUCUAAUACCGGAUAGGACCACAUUUUGGAUGGUGUGGUGGAAAGUUUUUCGGUGUGGGAUGAGCUCGCGGCCUAUCAGCUUGUUGGUGGGGUAAUGGCCUACCAAGGCGUCGACGGGUAGCCGGCCUGAGAGGGUGUACGGCCACAUUGGGACUGAGAUACGGCCCAGACUCCUACGGGAGGCAGCAGUGGGGAAUAUUGCACAAUGGGCGCAAGCCUGAUGCAGCGACGCCGCGUGGGGGAUGACGGCCUUCGGGUUGUAAACUCCUUUCGCUAGGGACGAAGCGUUUUUGUGACGGUACCUGGAGAAGAAGCACCGGCUAACUACGUG
rnacentral:rRNA from 1 species